ACAAAGGAGCCAACCCUACACACCAUUUCCCACUUACAGAGCUUCCGGUUAGAUCCGCGGUGGAGUGAACAUGCCCUCUCUCCCAAGUUCCCAGGAGGGUGGCCGCUGCCAGCCCACGGGCCAGACUUCGAGAAGACCAUAUGGACUCACCUCAAGGGCAGUGCAUUUUCAGGACCUGCUUGGAAAGGAAGAGGCCCAGUUCUACGUACUGGCCCCCUUCCAGAAGGAAGAGGAGGCCAAGGCUGAAGCAACACUGGCGUCGUGCGCCUCUAAAGGAAAAGUGCACGUCGGCCCCAGGUGACCCCAGACACCCCACAGGGGACGUUCUCGCUGGGGGCGAAGUCCCAAGCGUGUCUUGGGCACUUUAUGCAGAUGGUUACAAGCCAACAGCCCGGUGAUCUCAAUGUGAGGGGAGGUUACAGAGAUGGAUACAGCCAAUCCUUUAAAGGAGAAAUGUGAGUCCUUUUCUACAUUUAAUAAAAACAUUUUCUCAUUUGA